UACGUAGGGGGCAAGCGUUGUCCGGAUUCAUUGGGCGUAAAGAGCGUGUAGGCGGCCAGGUAGGUCGGUUGUGAAAACUGGAGGCUCAACCUUCAGACGUCGACCCAAACCCCCUGGCUAGAGUCCGGAAGAGGAGAGUGGAAUUCCUGGUGUAGCGGUGAAAUGCGCAGAUAUCAGGAAGAACACCGGUGGCGAAGGCGGAUCUCUGGGCCGUAACUGACGCUGAGGAGCGAAAGCAUGGGGAGCGAACAGG
rnacentral:rRNA from 1 species